rnacentral:rRNA from 1 species
AACGAACGCUGGCGGCAUGCUUUACACAUGCAAGUCGAACGGUAACAGGCCGCAAGGUGCUGACGAGUGGCGAACGGGUGAGUAAUGCAUCGGAACGUGCCCAGUCGUGGGGGAUAACGCAGCGAAAGCUGCGCUAAUACCGCAUACGAUCUAUGGAUGAAAGCGGGGGACCGUAAGGCCUCGCGCGAUUGGAGCGGCCGAUGUCAGAUUAGGUAGUUGGUGGGGUAAAGGCUCACCAAGCCAACGAUCUGUAGCUGGUCUGAGAGGACGACCAGCCACACUGGGACUGAGACACGGCCCAGACUCCUACGGGAGGCAGCAGUGGGGAAUUUUGGACAAUGGGCGCAAGCCUGAUCCAGCAAUGCCGCGUGCAGGAAGAAGGCCUUCGGGUUGUAACUGCUUUGUACGGUAACGAAAAGGACUCUGGUUAAUACCU